rnacentral:miRNA from 1 species
UAGGAUGACCAACUUGUCCUGAUUUGCCUGGGAUUUUCUCACUUUUAGUACUGAAAGUUUUGUUUCUGGAAAUCCCUAAGUCCUGGAUAAAACUGGGUGGUUGGUCACCCUAGUCAAGA